rnacentral:lncRNA from 1 species
GCCAGCCAGUUUUAAUAAUUUAUUGUAUGAGUUUGAGUGAGUUAAUUAAUCAGUUAAGCGACUGAAUGCAUACAGAGACAUACAGGUAAAACAAUAUUACAUCUGGGAAUAAAGUGUAUCUUCCUUAUUUUUAAGUGAUGCAUGCUAUGUGACACCAGGUACAGCGUGAGGCAGAAGCGGGGGACUAGAAGAUAUGGUUUUUCCUCCUCCUCCCCUCCUCUGCAUUUCACCUGCUACGACUCUCACUGCUUUUAUCCCCGAUAGUGACAAGAGAUGAUUAAACCCGGGCUGGACAGAGGGACUGAAUUUUAGCCAAUCUCCUCUCCCCUCCCCAUAUUGGCCGCCUUCAGAUUACAACCUCAGUAAACCAAGCGGUAUGCAUCCUUUUAAAAGGAACCUGAAGAAAUAGAUCCCGUUGUUUGUUGACAUUCUCCCCCCUUCAGUCUCCUCUCGGCUAUGCCACCUUAGUAACAUCUACCAAGUUUCCCUUCCUCCACCACUCCUCUCCAGCGGCUGGCCGCCCUGUGGGGAUAAAAAUACCAGGAUUCCAUAUAUUUGCUUCUCGGAGUGGUAACAUAUUGGUGGAGAGGAGAGAGGAAUGGAUUUUGAACACAUUUCAGAAAGGGAGAGGGUUGCGCCCCCUGCCUUCCACUGCUCCUUCCUCCUCUCGGGGUGCUUUUUCGAAAAAGACCAGUCACGUCUCUCAUGCAGUAAUGGGGAAUUGUUGGCUUCCAGCUGUUUUGGACUUCAGUUCUCAAGCCAGAAAGGUCAACAUGACAGGAUCAUUGGAUUACAGCCCCAAUCAUCUGGAAGGCCAGACGUUCCUGGCUCCUAGUACAAGGUCUAGUUUGGUUUUUACAGUCUUGAAAAUGGUGUGAUAUAAUUGCUUGCAGUUCACAUACAAAAUUGUCUUUCCUGUCUCUUUGUGGCAUGGUCAAAAUGGGUUUUGAAGCACUUGAAAGGAAAUCAGAGCAGAGACCAUCAUAGAAGGGGAAAGAGAACAUUAAUGGAUCAGGCUUCUGAAAAGCUACCGCCUAUACAUAGCAUGAAUGUACUAGUUGAAAGGAGAAGGCAAGAGGCCUCUGGUUGUUGCUUUUAAAUGGGGUAUAUUUUGAUCAGAACUUGGGGGGAAAAUUGUUCUUGUUCUCUUAAAACUGUCAGAAUCCCUCAGCCGUGCCAGCUGCAGGUCCCCAGGCGCUAUAUGAAAUUUUUUAAAAAUAAAUAAAAAAAAGAAUUUCUAAGUUCUGACUCA